ACGCUCGACACCUACGGGAGGCAGCAGUCGGGAAUAUUGCGCAAUGGAGGAAACUCUGACGCAGUGACGCCGCGUAUAGGAAGAAGGUUUUCGGAUUGUAAACUAUUGUCGUUAGGGAAGAAAAAGGACAGUACCUAAGGAGGAAGCUCCGGCUAACUACGUGCCGACAGCCGUGGUAAUCUGAGCGGGCUGGCAAGGC
rnacentral:rRNA from 1 species